rnacentral:rRNA from 1 species
CCCUUAGAUGUUCUGGGCCGCACGCGCGCUACACUGUUCGACGCAGCGAGUCUUAACCUUGACCGAAAGGUUUGGGUAAUCUUCAGCAAAGUCGAACGUGAUGGGGAUCGAUCAUUGCAAUUAUUGAUCGUGAACGAGGAACUCCUAGUAAGUGCAAGUCAUCAGCUUGCGCUGAUUACGUCCCUGCCCUUUGUACACACCGCCCGUCGCUACUACCGAUUGAAUGGUUUAGUGAGAUCUCUGGAUUGACGCUGGCUAGGGGGCGACCCUUGGCCAGACUGUUGAGAAACUGCUCAAACUUGAUCAUUUAGAGGAAGUAAAAGGCGUAACA